rnacentral:rRNA from 1 species
GACGAACGCUGGCGGCGUGCUUAACGCAUGUAAGUCGAACGGAAAGGCCCUGCUUUUGUGGGGUGCUCGAGUGGCGAACGGGUGAGUAACACGUGAGUAACCUGCCCUUGACUUUGGGAUAACUUCAGGAAACUGGGGCUAAUACCGGAUAGGAGCUCCUGCUGCAUGGUGGGGGUUGGAAAGUUUCGGCGGUUGGGGAUGGACUCGCGGCUUAUCAGCUUGUUGGUGGGGUAGUGGCUUACCAAGGCUUUGACGGGUAGCCGGCCUGAGAGGGUGACCGGCCACAUUGGGACUGAGAUACGGCCCAGACUCCUACGGGAGGCAGCAGUGGGGAAUAUUGCACAAUGGGCGGAAGCCUGAUGCAGCAACGCCGCGUGCGGGAUGACGGCCUUCGGGUUGUAAACCGCUUUCGCCUGUGACGAAGCGUGAGUGACGGUAAUGGGUAAAGAAGCACCGGCUAACUACGUG